rnacentral:rRNA from 1 species
CGCUUGAGGAUGAGCCUGCGGCCCAUCAGCUAGUUGGUUGGGGUAAUGGCCCACCAAGGCAUAGACGGGUAGCUGGUCUGAGAGGAUGAACAGCCACACUGGAACUGAGACACGGUCCAG